rnacentral:lncRNA from 1 species
AAUAUUGAAAUAUUUACACGUAAAAAUUAAUCCUGCAUAAAAUUUUUUGAAGAAGUAUUAAUAUAUGUUAUUAUUAUUAUUUUUUAAGAGAUAGGUAGCAUGCUAUCCAUUUCGUUUAUUUUAUUUAGAAAUAAGUUUAGCUAGAAAUGUGAAUCAAUUAUGAUUCGAACUUGAAAACUCGGAUACCAACCACCAAGGUCUUUGCCGUUUACUUUAAGGACAGUCAGUUAAUAUAUAUUAUUAUUAGAUCCAAACUUAUGGCUUAGAUGAUUUGG